AGAGUUUGAUCAUGGCUCAGAUUGAACGCUAGCGGGAUGCCUUACACAUGCAAGUCGAACGGCAGCACGGACUUCGGUCUGGUGGCGAGUGGCGAACGGGUGAGUAAUGUAUCGGAACGUGCCCAGUAGCGGGGGAUAACUACGCGAAAGCGUAGCUAAUACCGCAUACGCCCUAAGGGGGAAAGCAGGGGAUCGCAAGACCUUGCACUAUUGGAGCGGCCGAUAUCGGAUUAGCUAGUUGGUGAGGUAAUGGCUCACCAAGGCGACGAUCCGUAGCUGGUUUGAGAGGACGACCAGCCACACUGGGACUGAGACACGGCCCAGACUCCUACGGGAGGCAGCAGUGGGGAAUUUUGGACAAUGGGGGAAACCCUGAUCCAGCCAUCCCGCGUGUGCGAUGAAGGCCUUCGGGUUGUAAAGCACUUUUGGCAGGAAAGAAACGGCGCGGGUUAAUACCCUGCGCAACUGACGGUACCUGCAGAAUAAGCACCGGCUAACUACGUGCCAGCAGCCGCGGUAAUACGUAGGGUGCAAGCGUUAAUCGGAAUUACUGGGCGUAAAGCGUGCGCAGGCGGUUCGGAAAGAAAGGUGUGAAAUCCCAGAGCUUAACUUUGGAACUGCACUUUUAACUACCGGGCUAGAGUAUGUCAGAGGGAGGUGGAAUUCCGCGUGUAGCAGUGAAAUGCGUAGAUAUGCGGAGGAACACCGAUGGCGAAGGCAGCCUCCUGGGAUAAUACUGACGCU
rnacentral:rRNA from 1 species